rnacentral:rRNA from 1 species
UCGUGGUGUGACUGCGUACCUUUUGUAUAAUGGGUCAGCGACUUAUAUUCAGUGGCAAGGUUAACCAUCUAGGGGAGCCGUAGGGAAACCGAGUCUUAACUGGGCGUUCAGUCUCUGGAUAUAGACCCGAAACCAGGUGAUCUAGCCAUGGGCAGGUUGAAGGUUGAGUAACAUCAACUGGAGGACCGAACCGACUAAUG